AAGGGGUACUGCUUAGUGGCGACUGGCUGGCAGCGUUAGCAUUAAGGGCCCCGCGGUGUCAACAAGUCUGAGCACUCGUCCGCUCUACAACCGUCCCAGAGGAAAUGGAUAUAAGGUCUGGGCAUCUAUCUGGCCUCCUGGUCAAGGAACGCCGCGUUCGCGCCUCGAGAGCGUCGUGGCGAGCGGAGAAAUGUAUCAAAACGCAGGUCUCGGCAACGAAACAAGCGAGAUUGAGCCGAAAACUUUGCAGGUGCACGUGCAUUCGGGCCGAAAUUACCGCGGCUCCAAUGGCCAUCAAUGGCCACCGUAAUGGCCACCGUAUAGCCACCCAAUGCAAUGUGGCUAUACGCAUCGUGCGUCGGCUGCUCACGCCUAGCAUAGUUUUCGAACGUCUUUGCUGUGAGCACGCGAAAGCAGCGGCAAAGUAAGGAAGGAAGUCUUAAAGGGGCUUAUGAGGUAUAUUAGAUGCAGAUACGGAACCAUCCCCUGAGUCCUGCGAAGGCCAGGUUUUGACGGUGGCAGUUGGGCUUACUUACGGCUUCCUUGGAUCCUCGGGAAUAUACGUGUUCCCAAGCUGCCCGCAUUUUGUAGACAUCGCUGUUGCAUCGAUAAAAGGUAGGAAGACGGCCGUAUGGAUUAAAGAGCAGAUGCGCGUGACUCACGCUCUGGCCGGGAUUAGGAGAAAAAGUAAUUUACUUGGGCAAAUCACGUAAUGCGUAGAAUAGAUUACCGGCGGCUGAGGAGAAUGUGUGCCGAAAGGGGGGAGCUGCUGGUCGAGGUCGGUAGAGUAUUAGAUGCAGCUAUGGGAUUAGGAAAGUUGCAAGCAUCGAGUGAGCUCGAUUAACGUCAAGGUAAAAUGGAGAUCUCUGCGAGAGAUUAUCGUCCUCCACUGGGCUUUGAUAUGACGACGUCAGCAUUAGUGUAAGAUGAUGGUGACCCGAUGAGCUCGAGAUGCUUUAGAAGCGUUCGCCUAAGCGCUAGCGGCAGGUUCGAUAGUUCCAUCGUUUGCCGAUUAUAGAAACUACAUUGUGACAGUUCAGUGAGCGCUGGAGAAUGAUCGAGGGCAUGGUUAGGCGGAUGAUGGUUCAUCGCCGGAACGAAGACUAUCUUAAUUACCUGGAACGUGUCGCAUGAACAAGAAAGGGAUUACGGAAGACAGUGAAUGGUUAUGUUUCAGUGGAAUAGACAUGCGUGUGUUCCCAGAAAGGUCAGAUCCAUGCCACUUGACCAUUGAUG